ACUACGGUGGGCAGCAGUGGGGGAUAUUGCACAAUGGGGGAAACCCUGAUGCAGCGACGCCGCGUGAGUGAAGAAGGAUUUAGGUAUGUAAAGCUCUAUCAGCAGGGAAGAAAAUGACAGUACCUGACCAAGAAGCCCCGGCUAACUACGUGCCAGCAGCCGCGGUAAUACGUAGGGGGCAAGCGUUAUCCGGAUUUACUGGGUGUAAAGGGAGCGUAGCCGGUUAUGUACGUCUGGAGUGAACGCCCGGGGCCCAACCCCGGGACUGCUUUGGAAACUGUGUAACUGGAGUACAGGAGGGGCAGGCGGCAUUCCUGGUGUAGCGGUGAAAUGCGUCGAUAUCAGGAGGAACACCGGCUGCGAAGGCGGCCUGCUGGACUGCACCUGACGUUGAUGCUCG
rnacentral:rRNA from 1 species